rnacentral:rRNA from 1 species
UAUCUCUGUAGAGUCUGCAUAUCAAUAAGCGGAGGAAAAGAAACUAACUAGGAUUCCCUCAGUAACGGCGAGUGAAGCGGGAAGAGCUCAAAUUUGAAAUCUUCAAGGUUCUACCUUGACGAAUUGUAGUUUAAAGAAGUGUUUUCUGUUGGAGUUUUGGUAAAAGUUCUUUGGAAUAGGACAUCAUAGAGGGUGAGAAUCCCGUAUUUGACCAUUAUUUCCAGCUUUGUGAUACACUUUCAAAGAGUCGGGUUGUUUGGGAAUGCAGUCCAAAAUGGGUGGUAAAUUUCAUCUAAAGCUAAAUACUGGCGAGAGACCGAUAGCGAACAAGUACCGUGAGGGAAAGAUGAAAAGAACUUUGAAAAGAGAGUUAAACAGUACGUGAAAUUGUCAAAAGGGAAGCGUUUGACACCAGUGUUGUUUUCUCGAAAAUCAAUUAAAAAUGAUGGAUUUUGUGUUGUAUUGACUUUAUCAGCUUUCUGCACUUUUUCUUAGUCCUUUUUAAUGCACUUUUCGUUUAACAAGUCAACAUCAAUUUCUUUUGUUGUAAAAGAGUCAUUGGAAGGUGGCUUUUCUUUCGGAGAAAGUGUUUAUAGCCUUUGGCUUCUGCAAUCGGAGAGAUUGAGGUCUGCAGCGUAGAUCCUUCGGGGUUAGAUACAUUUGUGCUAAGCUAUAGUUCUUUCAUAGACAACUUGUUGACUAUGAUCAGUCCUAGUAGCUUACUCGCUUAUGCUAUUUUACCUACGCUUAGGAUGAUUGACGAUCAGCUGAGCGCG